rnacentral:rRNA from 1 species
AGUGAACGCUGGCGGUAGGCCUAACACAUGCAAGUCGAACGGCAGCACAGUAAGAGCUUGCUCUUACGGGUGGCGAGUGGCGGACGGGUGAGGAAUACAUCGGAAUCUACUUUUUCGUGGGGGAUAACGUAGGGAAACUUACGCUAAUACCGCAUACGACCUACGGGUGAAAGCAGUGGAUCUUCGGACCUUGCGCGAUUGAAUGAGCCGAUGUCGGAUUAGCUAGUUGGCGGGGUAAAGGCCCACCAAGGCGACGAUCCGUAGCUGGUCUGAGAGGAUGAUCAGCCACACUGGAACUGAGACACGGUCCAGACUCCUACGGGAGGCAGCAGUGGGGAAUAUUGGACAAUGGGCGCAAGCCUGAUCCAGCCAUACCGCGUGGGUGAAGAAGGCCUUCGGGUUGUAAAGCCCUUUUGUUGGGAAAGAAAGGCAGCAGGUUAAUACCCCGCUGUUCUGACGGUACCCAAAGAAUAAGCACCGGCUAACUUCGUG